rnacentral:lncRNA from 1 species
UCCAAUAAAUAUAUACAUAUAUACAUAUAUGUCGAUAUAAUAAGAACAUUUGAGGAGGAAAAAAAAAAGUGAAAUAUUAAAUUAUAUGAAAAAAGACAAAAUUAAUAUAUUUUGUUUAACAUUAGUUUUUGUGUUUUUNNNNNNNNNNACACAUAUUUAUAUAUACACAUAUUUAUAUACAUAUAUAUAUUUCUAUGUAUACAUGUAUAUAUAAUUUUUCAAAAUAUUAAUUAUAUACCAUCGUAUUUUCUAAUUCCUCUGCGUCUUUGUUUAUUUCUCUUUUUAGAUCAUUAUCCUUAUUAUCAUCGGGAAUGUUGUAUUUAUAUUUCCUCAACCCCAAUUUUAACUUCGUGUCAGCAGUUUAUACCGUUAGGUGCAUUAACUGUUGUAGUCACUGGUUCUACAACGUUUCCAUUAAGUGAGGAUGAUAUAUUUCCGCAUAAACAUAGUGCUAUUUGUGAAAAAUGUGUACAUACUAAAUACAUUAUAGACUAAUAAAAAAGAAAUUUUAAUAUGAAACAAGAUAAUCCAUAUUUUAGACAUAUAUUUAUGUAUCCACAUAAUUAUACCUUUUUUCAUUGCUCUUUUAUUAACAACACAUAAAUGUAUAUAAGCUAUUUUUAUGUUUCAAAUACGUAUAUGUAUUAUGUAGAUAUAUGAACGAAUUUCGGAAAAAAACAAAAAAUUAACUAUUAACGUACUAAAUAAUUUAAACAAUGGAAGAGGGAAAUUCUUUUUUUUUUUUAACACAUAUUUUUAAUGUAUAAAGUGUAUAAUUUUAUUUUGGUUAUUAAUAAAAAGUUCUAUCAAACAGAAAGAACGAAAACA